AGAAGUAUGACACUCACAGUGAAAGCACAAAACAUCAAGCCAACAGUUCAGGACUAGUCAUUCAAAUGGACUAAAGGUGGGGGAGAAAAAAUAAGAGUGGAUAAAAGAAAGAAAGAAAACAGAGAAAGGUGGGAAAAAAAAAACAAAGGAAGGAAGAGAGAAAAGAGAAUGAGAGGAAGAGAAGGAAGGGGAAAAACAAGAUUGACUUUACAGUAUGAGAUAUACUAUUAUAUAUUGGACCCUUGGUGGGCAGUGCCUAAACAGAGACAACUACAGGUUUCUGGCUGUGGCCACUCUCUGGUGAAACUAAGGGGUUUCUGUGUGGAGGUGCCUAACAGCCACCGUCCAGUUUGGGUAAAGAAAGCUUUUUAUGGUUCACUAAGGACAAUCAACCCCUUCGCAAUCUAGAACCAAAAGACUGGAUCUUCUGAGAACAUCUACUGUAAGAACUAUAGUUACACAACAGACUUUGAAUUCUCUUGUGAAAGUUAAGGUAGAAUUGGCUGAACAGAGGAGUAUCUGUGCGGCUGCUGGCAUUUGUGGCUUAUGGAGAAACACAUUAAAUGAAGAUUACAGAGAUUCAUUGGCAGGGGAUUAACAGAGAUUGCUUAAUUAAUAGUAUGAUGCCUCUGGCUUCCCUCUAUCACACGUCUUCUUUUCGAGUAAAGGUUUUUCAUAAAUGUGAGCGUGGAAGAAGAAACCAGUUAAAUAUGGAACUUCACACCAGGACACAAAAGAUGGUGUCAGAAGCGGAUCCGAAGUGGAACUUUUAGUGACCCUCAGGAGCACUGAAUGAACAUGCAAGGAACCUGCAGGACCCACUUGUGUCCAUUGAUCUCUGGGAGCAGCUGGGAUAAGCUCCUUUUCGGAUUUCAGAGCUCCAUGGACUUGUGUCUUGAGAUCCCUGAGUUUCUUUGAGCAAAUUUCUGAUCCAAAAUGGGUUUGGCAUCAUGGCAGAAACAGGACUGGGUCCACGAAUGGAUUUGAUCCAGGAAUGAACUGGCUUGGAUCCAGUCAGAGGUCUCUUACAUCUGACUGGGUCAGAAAGGAACUGGUAGUAAGCAGUAAUAUUGCAGAGGAUGGUGUGGCAAGCUGAGUCACUAAGGCUGCUCAGGGAAAGGGAACCCAGAAUCUUGGCAUGCCGGCAAAAGGCCCAUGGUUCACUGAGGACAACUCCUUUGCAAUCUAGAACCCAAAGAUUGGAUCUUCUGAGAACAUCAGAGAAAGACUGUCCUUGCCAUCCACACUACAGCAAAGCUUUGGAGCCUUGAACCUUGGGUUCAUGAUCUUACAACUGAGAAGGGCCCCUCCACACUCCUGAACUGUACAACCAUUGAAACUCUUAAGGUAAAAUUAACUAGGAAAGUUUAUCUCCUUAAGAAGAUGGCAUCCUUGAUGUGAACAGCUUUUCCCAAGAUCCUGGAUCAAAACGUCUACUAUCACGAGACUCUUAUAUUUGAAUAUAUUUUCCGGUUUAUGCCUUUAGGAACAAUUGAAAUGAAAGGGGGAUCUAUUAUGUGCACUUAUAGGGUAUACUUUUAUUUGUGAAGGAUUUUGCAUCCAGCCUUAUAUGAAUAACCUUGUACUUUAAUAGAUAAAAGAUGAAGGCUCAAUGUAGGUGAGAAAAUGUAGUGGUACAUAUGUUGCCUCAUAAUCAGUCAAAACUCUUCUUAACCCACAUAAUGGAUUAAAGAGAAUAUUGCCAGGAGGCCUUCGCUUUUCUAAAAUGACAUCAUUUGUUAGGUCCUUUUUCCAUAGUUUAGUAUAAAAGAGGCAAUAAUUAGAAAUGUCACCCUCAUAAUAGGCUCUACAGCAAAUUCUACUUUAAAGGCUAUUGUUACACAACAGACUUUAAAUUAUCUUGUAAAAGUUAUGCUAAAUAAUAGAAUUGGCCAAACAGAAAAGUACCUGUGCAGUUGCUGACACCUGUGGCCUAUGGAGAAAUACAUCAAAUGUAGAUUAUACAAUUUCAGUUGUAGGGGAUUAAUGAAAAGACCACCUAGUCAAGCAAGUAGGCUCUUCAUAUAGCUCAUUCUUUAAUCUAUUUAAUUUUACAUGGUUUGGUUUAUGGGGACCCUGGGUAAGGAGCACACUCCAAAUUUGUUAUUAUUCUCCCAGUACUCAUAAUGAUAGUCUCCCUGAUGUGCUAUAUUCUCUUAAAGGUUUUAAAUGUUUGCAUGCAGCCAUCUCUAGAACAUCAAAUGGUCUCUAUUCAACCAGAAUGACAAAAGCUGAAAGAAAUGUGUGACCCUGAGGAUAUCGUAACCUACGAAUGAUGUGCUGAGACUGGAAACCCUAAAUGAUGUUACUGAGAAUGGCACUAAGGCCUUAAGUUUUGGUCACACUGUCACCUAAGUGAGAACCUGGCUGAAAAGGGAGAAUUUUUAAACAACAAAAUUAGAGGAAGCCACUAUUUUGGACUGAGCUCAUGCACUAGGCCCCAACAAACGAAACCAAGCUAAAAUGGAGUCACUCAUCCUAAAUGUGACAUAAUCAAACCAAGGCUUUAAGAACACAGAUAGAUGCUAGAACAGACUACAUUUUGUUUUUCUCCUGUAAACAGGAUGUCUAUCAUAAGGAGGUACCGUCUACUCAGUCCUUAUUCUCUCCUUGCAAAACCCACUUUUCUACUGUUUCCCAGUGGGUUUCAAACCAUAUAAUACAUUUAUGAUAGUGAUAUUAACAUCAAUGACUAAGGUUUUGGUCAAUCUCUCAAAAUUGAGAAAAUGACCAAAAGAGGGAAAUGAUUGCUAAAGCAAACUAAAUAUGGCCUGGGAAGAACUCCAUAGUCUUAUAUUUGAGUUCUUGCAGAUGAACUGUAACUUAGCUUAAUAGUCAGACAAAACUGAAAACCUAACUUAAUAGUAUGCGUCUGUAACAAUGGCUGAGUGUUCGCUAAUCCCAGCGGCCAUACUUCAACCACUCAUAGACUGCUGAAAGUUCAAAGUGCAUUCAAAUAAGGCAAAAACGGAGCUUAACCAGCCUCACUGUUUCUGUAUCUCACUUCCGAUUCCUGUAUGUCACUUUACCUUUUUUGUCUAUAAAUGUGUUCUGACCACGAGGCACCCCAGGUCUCUGUGAAUCUGUUGUAAUUCUGGAGGUGCCUGAUUCGCCAAUCAUUCAUUGCUCAAUUAAACUCCUUUAAAUUUAACUCAGCUGGACUUUUCCUUUUAUCAGGUUGAAUUUUACAUAUCUACUUUAGAUUUUAAUUUCUUCUAUAAAUUAAAAUCUAAUCUUCCAUAAUUUCUGAUAAAAUGUUUGUUAAAUGAACUCAAUGCAUUGGACAAAAAUUUCCUGUUGCUUUUCUUUCAAAGUACAUAAAUUGAUGCUACUUUUUCCACCUUUCUCACAUUUUCUCUGUCCCAAUCUUACACUGGAGGUUCAAUAGUCUUCUUCAUGCCUCAAGUUCUUUCUCUUGUAAUAUGAAAGGCAUGUGGCCACUUUCCUUUUCUAAUUCUUUCAUAAAUCUAAACAUUUUCACUACCUAUUGGUUACUAUGCUCACCAUCUGGGUGAAGGCAUCAUUUGUACACAAAAUCUAUAAAAUAUACUAUUUACUUAUGUAAAAAACCUAAACAUGUACCUGCUGAACCUAAAAUAAAAGUUGAAAAAGAAAAAUAAAUAAAUAAUACCUUCCCAGAAUAUUGCCUAUAGGAACAAGUCUAAAUUCCUUAAUACAGAGUAAAAUGGUAAUAAAAUUCUUGCCCUGAUUUUCUUUCUUAGGCCUAUGUCAUUUCAACACUCCCCAUCACCAUUCUUCCCCAAUCUCUUCCAUUUUUUGAGUCUAAAAUCCUUAAUACAUUGAAUUUUUGUUCAAUAUUUGUUAUAUGCCCAAAACUAUGCUAAGCUGCUGGACUCGUGCUCUUUCACAAUUCCUUUUCUGUUCCUUUCAGACUAGUGAAAUGAUACUGAUUUUUAAUGAUCUGUCUUUUCUUGGAAAUUUCCUAUUUCCAAAUGUCAAAAAAAGAACUUAUAAUUUUUGUCUCUCCAUUUCCAUAACACUUAUCAAUGUCACUGACAUAGCCCUAAUAAUUAUGAGAUGUACAUUGUUAGUUACACACAUUUCUUGUUUUCCUACUUUUGAUGUCUUUAAGGUCAGAGAUUGUAUUUUACUCGUUUGUAUUCCUAUCAGAAAAAAAACUGUGGCUUACAUGUAAUAUACAUUCAGUAAUUGUUUGAAUGAAAAAUGUAUUAAAAUAGUAUGAGUAUCCAAGUUGGUGAUUCAAUUUAGUUAAUCUCUUCUGAUACCCCUACCCCAAAAAGGCAUAUGUAAAAGUGCAUAAAAUUGUGUGUAUGAAUAUGUAGAUCAAUAGAUAGAAGCAUCUGUGAACACAAAUAAGAAAUUUAGGAAAUGAUUAUCUUAGAAACUCUUUAGCAUCAAAUCUUAUUUAUUUAUUUAUUUAUUUGCUAUAGCUUUUGGGGAAAAGUUGGAUUUUUGUUACAUGGAUAAGUUCUCUUGUAGUAAUUCCUGAGAUUUUGGUGCACACUGUACCCAAUCUGUAUUCUUUAUUCCUCACCCCUCUCCCCGCAUUCCCCUUGAGUCUCUGAAGUCCCUUAUAUCAUUCUUACGCCUUUGCAGCCUCAUAACUUAGCUCCCACUUAUAAGUGAGAUCAUACAAAAUUUGGUUUUCCAUUCCUGAGUUACUUCACUUAGAAUAACUGUUUCCAGCUCCAUCCAGGUUGCUGAAAAUGCCAUUAUUUCAUUCAUUUUUAUGGCUGAGUAGUAUUCCAUGGUGUAUAUAUGCCACCUUUUCUUUAUUUACUCUUUGGCCAGUGGACAUUUAGGCUGAUUUCAUAUUUUUGCAAUUGUGAAUUUUGCUACUAUACACAUGUAUGUGCAAGUGUAUUUUUCAUACAAUGACUUCUUUUCCUCUGGGUAGAGACCCAGUAGUGCGAUUGCUGGAUGAAAUGCUAGUUCUACUUCUAGUUAUUUAAGGAAUCUCCAUACUGUUUUCCAUAUGGGUGGUACUAGUUUACAUUCCCAACAGCAGUAUAAAAGUGUUCCCUUUUCACCAUAUUCACGCUAAUAUUUAUUAUUUUUUAUUUUUAAUUAUGGUCAUUCUUGGAUCUCAUUGUAUUUUCAAUUUGCAUUUCCCUGGUAAUUAGAGAUGUUGAGCAUAUUUUCAUGUUUGUUGGCCAUUUGGAUAACUUUUUCUGAGAAUUGUCUGUUCAUGUCCUUUGCCCACUUUUUAAGUUUAAUUUAAUACUAAUCCUACUAUUAUAUAUAUAUAUAUAAG
rnacentral:lncRNA from 1 species